rnacentral:rRNA from 1 species
UAGUCGUACGAGUUCACACUCGUGGCGCAUAGCUCAGUAACACGUGGCCAAUCUACCCUUCAGCGGCGGACACCCUCGGGAAACUGAGGCUAAUCCGCCAUACACCUCUCACACUGGAACUGUCGAGAGGCCCAAACGCUCUUCAAGCGCUGAAGGAUGAGGCUGCGGCCGAUUAGGUAGACGGUGGGGUAACGGCCCACCGUGCCCAUAAUCGGUACGGGUCGUGAGAGCGAGAGUCCGGAGACGGAAUCUGAGACAAGAUUCCGGGCCCUACGGGGCGCAGCAGGCGCGAAACCUUUACACUGCACGCCAGUGCGAUAAGGGGACUCCAAGUGCGAGGGCAUAUCGUCCUCGCUAUCCUGUACUGUAGGGUAGUACAGUAUCAAGAGCUGGGCAAGACCGGUGCCAGCCGCCGCGGUAAUACCGGCAGCUCAAGUGAUGGCCGAUCUUAUUGGGCCUAAAGCGUCCGUAGCUGGCCUCGCAAGUCCGUCGGGAAAUCCAUCAGCUCAACUGAUGGGCGUCCGGCGGAAACUCCGAGGCUUGGGACCGGAAGGCUCGAGGGGUACGUCCGGGGUAGGAGUGAAAUCCCGUAAUCCCGAACGGACCACCGAUGGCGAAAGCACCUCGAGAAGACGGCUCCGACAGUGAGGGACGAAAGCUAGGGUCUCGAACCGGAUUAGAUACCCGGGUAGUCCUAGCCGUAAACGAUGUUCGCUAGGUGUGGCACUCGCUACGAGCGAGUGCUGUGCCGUAGGGAAGCCGAGAAGCGAACCGCCUGGGAAGUACGUCUGCAAGGAUG